CCCGAUGGGUUUAGGAAUGGUACAAUUAUGCUCUUGUCGCUAUGGUGUGAUUACACUUCUAUUGAAGGGUAUAUCAAUAAUUUCAUCAUAUCAGGUAGUGAAGCCCCGGUUACAUGGAAUGUUGUUAACUAGCAGAAAUGCACAGUAUCCCUUGCAUGCUAAGAAUGGCUGGGAUUUUCAUUGGAAGAUACCAUUGAGGGCAUGUUUGGUUGGAAAAAGUUGGACUUUGGAAUAAGAAUGCGAAUAAGUGACUUCCAUUCCAGCUAUUUGAUUUGGGAGAAUUUCGUUCCCAUUUUGAUACCAGGGAGACAGGAGAAGGCCCCAAUGUUUCAAAACGCUAUCUUUACUCUCUC
rnacentral:lncRNA from 1 species